rnacentral:rRNA from 1 species
AGCGAACGCUGGCGGUAGGCCUAACACAUGCAAGUCGAACGGCAGCACAGUAAGAGCUUGCUCUUACGGGUGGCGAGUGGCGGACGGGUGAGGAAUACAUCGGAAUCUACUUUUUCGUGGGGGAUAACGUAGGGAAACUUACGCUAAUACCGCAUACGACCUACGGGUGAAAGCAGGGGAUCUUCGGACCUUGCGCGAUUGAAUGAGCCGAUGUCGGAUUAGCUAGUUGGCGGGGUAAAGGCCCACCAAGGCGACGAUCCGUAGCUGGUCUGAGAGGAUGAUCAGCCACACUGGAACUGAGACACGGUCCAGACUCCUACGGGAGGCAGCAGUGGGGAGUAUUGGACAAUGGGCGCAAGCCUGAUCCAGCCAUACCGCGUGGGUGAAGAAGGCCUUCUGGUUGUAAAGCCCUUUUGUUGGGAAAGAAAAGCAGCAGGUUAAUACCCCGCUGUUCUGACGGUACCCAAAGAAUAAGCACCGGCUAACUUCGUG